rfam:Onchocerca ochengi, WGS project CAWC01000000 data, contig: 00062_128
CUUCUGAAGUUUUCCUGAGGAUAGCUGGAGUACAUAAUGGAGUUAUGUUCAAUAAAGCAAAUGAUUAGAGGAAUUGUGAGACGAAACAUCUUCAGCCUGUUCACAAACUUUCAAUGAGUACAGCGUCUUUCUUGUUUAAAUAAUACUAAAUGAAGCGUAAACAUUGAAUGUGUGCUCCAAGUAGGCCAUAUUUGUUGUGCAGAACUGGCACUGUGGAUGAACUAAGUACCGAGAAAAAAG